rnacentral:rRNA from 1 species
UGGGGGAUAUUGCACAAUGGGCGAAAGCCUGAUGCAGCGACGCCGCGUGGGGGAUGAAGGCCUUCGGGUUGUAAACUUCUUUUGCUCUGAACAAGGCGCACCACGGGGUGUGUUGAGUGUAGGGGUUGAUUAGCGACGGCUAACUACGUGCCAGCAGCCGCGGUAAUACGUAGGGCGCGAGCGUUGUCCGGAAUUAUUGGGCGUAAAGGGCUUGUAGGUGGCUGGUUGCGUCUGUCGUGAAAGCUCAUGGCUUAACUGUGGGUUUGCGGUGGGUACGGGCUGGCUUGAGUGCAGUAGGUGAGGCUGGAAUUCCUGGUGUAGCGGUGGAAUGCGCAGAUAUCAGGAGGAAUACCGGUGGCGAAGGCGGGUCUCUGGGCUGUUACUGACACUGAGGAGCGAAAGCAUGGGGAGCGAACAGG